AUCAUGUCGAGAUCUGACCACACUACGAGUCUCUCUGCAGUAGUCAAUAUCAUGUUAAAGAAAGAUAAGGACGUCUAUCUGCUGGACUCCAUUGUGAAUGAACAGCGUAUCAAGUUAUCGCAACCUGCAGAGAUUCAGAUAUCAUCUCAUACGGCUCAGGAGUUCAUCACUUCAAGAACAAAGUAUACAGCAUUGGUCAGUCAGAACCUUGACACAAUCUGCUGGCUGACUUCACUUCACUCCACUCCACAUCUGACCUCACUUGAGACAUACCAGAUGAAGACGACUGGCUGCUCUCCCUCUUCCCUUUUAUGUCAAAGCUUUUGAGUCCGACUCGAACCCCAUCGUCGUGGUCAACUCCUCUCUGUGUCUCAAGUCUGCCGACGUACACGACGAGCUAAUUGGGAAAGCCCUCAACACAAAGAGCUCAAAGAACCACUUGGAGGAAAAUACUCAUUAUGAGUGUUUUUCUUCUGAAGGCCAAGAACAUUUA
rnacentral:lncRNA from 1 species